UACGUAGGUGGCAAGCGUUGUCCGGAUUUAUUGGGCGUAAAGCGAGCGCAGGCGGUUCCUUAAGUCUGAUGUGAAAGCCCACGGCUCAACCGUGGAAGGUCAUUGGAAACUGGGGGACUUGAAUGCAGAAGAGGAGAGUGGAAUUCCAUGUGUAGCGGUGAAAUGCGUAGAUAUUAGGAGGAACACCAGUUGCGAAGGCGGCUUUCUAGGCUGUUUCUGACGCUGAGGCCCUAAAGUGUGGGUAGCGAACAGGAUUAGAUACCCUGGUA
rnacentral:rRNA from 1 species